AUGCACGCUGACGGCGUGCCUAAUACAUGCAAGUCGAGCGAACGGACGAGAAGCUUGCUUCUCUGAUGUUAGCGGCGGACGGGUGAGUAACACGUGGAUAACCUACCUAUAAGACUGGGAUAACUUCGGGAAACCGGAGCUAAUACCGGAUAAUAUUUUGAACCGCAUGGUUCAAAAGUGAAAGACGGUCUUGCUGUCACUUAUAGAUGGAUCCGCGCUGCAUUAGCUAGUUGGUAAGGUAACGGCUUACCAAGGCAACGAUGCAUAGCCGACCUGAGAGGGUGAUCGGCCACACUGGAACUGAGACACGGUCCAGACUCCUACGGGAGGCAGCAGUAGGGAAUCUUCCGCAAUGGGCGAAAGCCUGACGGAGCAACGCCGCGUGAGUGAUGAAGGUCUUCGGAUCGUAAAACUCUGUUAUUAGGGAAGAACAUAUGUGUAAGUAACUGUGCACAUCUUGACGGUACCUAAUCAGAAAGCCACGGCUAACUACGUG
rnacentral:rRNA from 1 species